AUACGUAGGGUGCAAGCGUUAAUCGGAAUUACUGGGCGUAAAGCGUGCGCAGGCGGUUCGGAAAGAAGGAUGUGAAAUCCCAGGGCUCAACCUUGGAACUGCAUUCUUAACUACCGAACUAGAGUAUGUCAGAGGGGGGUAGAAUUCCGCGUGUAGCAGUGAAAUGCGUAGAUAUGCGGAGGAAUACCGAUGGCGAAGGCAGCCCCCUGGGAUAAUACUGACGCUCACGCACGAAAGCGUGGGUAGCAAACAGGAUUAGAUACCCUGGUAGUCCACGCCCUAAACGAUGUCAACUAGCUGUUGGGCCCUUCGGGGCUUAGUAGCGUAGCUAACGCGUGAAGUUGACCGCCUGGGGAGUACGGUCGCAAGAUUAAAACUCAAAGGAAUUGACGGGG
rnacentral:rRNA from 1 species